GACGAACGCUGGCGGCGUGCUUAACACAUGCAAGUCGAACGGAAAGGCCCUGCUUGCAGGGUACUCGAGUGGCGAACGGGUGAGUAACACGUGGGUGAUCUGCCCUGCACUUCGGGAUAAGCCUGGGAAACUGGGUCCAAUACCGGAUAGGAGCCACUUUUAGUGUGAUGGUUGGAAAGUUUUUUCGGUGUAGGAUGAGCUCGCGGCCUAUCGGCUUGUUGGUGGGGUAAUGGCCUACCAAGGCGGCGACGGGUAGCCGGCCUGAGAGAGUGGACGGCCACAUUGGGACUGAGAUACGGCCCAGACUCCUACGGGAGGCAGCAGUGGGGAAUAUUGCACAAUGGGCGCAAGCCUGAUGCAGCGACGCCGCGUGGGUGAUGACGGCCUUCGUGUUGUAAGCGCCUUACGCUAGGGACGAAGCUUUUUGUGACGGUACCUAGAUAAGAAGCACCGGCUAACUACGUG
rnacentral:rRNA from 1 species